rfam:Canis lupus familiaris chromosome X, whole genome shotgun sequence.
ACCUGGCUGUCUCAGUCAGUGGAGCAUGUGACUCUUGAUCUCGGGGUUGUGGGUUCAAGCCCCACGUUGGGUG